UACAGAGGGUGCAAGCGUUAAUCGGAAUUACUGGGCGUAAAGCGUGCGUAGUCGGUUAUUUAAGUCGGGCGUGAAAGCCCCGGGCUCAACCUGGGAAUUGCGUUCGAUACUGGAUAGCUAGAGUUCGGCAGAGGGAAGCGGAAUUCCCGGUGUAGCGGUGAAAUGCGUAGAUAUCGGGAGGAACAUCAGUGGCGAAGGCGACUUUCUGGAUCAAUACUGACGCUAAGGUGCGAAAGCGUGGGGAUCAAACAGG
rnacentral:rRNA from 1 species